AUUGAACGCUGGCGGCAUGCUUUACACAUGCAAGUCGAACGGCAGCACGGGGGCAACCCUGGUGGCGAGUGGCGAACGGGUGAGUAAUAUAUCGGAACGUACCCGGAAAUGGGGGAUAACGUAGCGAAAGUUACGCUAAUACCGCAUAUGCCCUAAGGGGGAAAGCGGGGGAUUCGCAAGAACCUCGCGUUUUCGGAGCGGCCGAUAUCGGAUUAGCUAGUAGGUGAGGUAAAGGCUCACCUAGGCGACGAUCCGUAGCUGGUCUGAGAGGACGACCAGCCACACUGGAACUGAGACACGGUCCAGACUCCUACGGGAGGCAGCAGUGGGGAAUUUUGGACAAUGGGCGCAAGCCUGAUCCAGCCAUGCCGCGUGAGUGAAGAAGGCCUUCGGGUUGUAAGCUCUUUCGGCUAGGAACGAACGGCGGGCUCUAACAUAGCCUGUCAAUGACGGUACCUGAAGAAGAAGCACCGGCUAACUACGUGCCAGCAGCCGCGGUAAAGUGU
rnacentral:rRNA from 1 species